UGAGUGGACUGGUUAUGUACACUGGUGUAGGUUACAGCUGUGGACUCACUUUAUUUGCCGGGUCUUUUCAGUCACAGUAUACCUCCAGAGGUCUGUCUUUUGUCAUUGCGUCUGUGAGGCCCAACGUUCGAAGGUCAUAUUCACCACCUCACCCUUUGUCUUCCUAGGUCUCCCUCUACCCCAGAUUC